AAAUUACCCAAUUCUAACAGCAUAAGAGAGGUAGUGACAAGAAAUAACAAUACAAGGCAGUUAAAAUGUUUUGUAAUUGGAAUGAUAGAAAUUUAAACACUUUUUAAAGUAUCAAUUGGAGGGCAAGUCUGGUGCCAGCAGCCGCGGUAAUUCCAGCUCCAAUAGCGUAUAUUAAAAUUGUUGCAGUUAAAAAGCUCGUAGUUGAAUUUCUGCUAAAGAAAGCCGGUCUGCUUUUAAUAAAAGUGGUAUCUCGGUGUGUUUUUAGCAAUAAUGUCUUUCGAAAGGUUUUAUUACUUUAUUGUAUUAAACCAUAUUGAAGAUUUUUACUUUGAGAAAAUUAGAGUGUUUCUAGCAGGCUAACGCUUUGAAUACUGCAGCAUGGAAUAAUAAAAUAGGAUUUUAGUUCUAUAUUAUUGGUUUUAAGGGCUAAAUUAAUGAUUGAUAGGGACAGUUGGGGGCAUUUGUAUUUAACUGUCAGAGGUGAAAUUCUUAGAUUUGAUAAAGACAAACUACUGCGAAAGCAUUUGCCAAAGAUGUUUUCAUUAAUCAAGAACGAAAGUUAGGGGAUCGAAGACGAUCAGAUACCGUCGUAGUCUUAACUAUAAACUAUGCCGACUAGAGAUUGGAGGUCGUCUUUAUAAACGA
rnacentral:rRNA from 1 species